GAGCCGGAGGGAAACCGAGUCUUAAUUGGGCGUUAAGUUGCAGGGUAUAGACCCGAAACCCGGUGAUCUAGCCAUGGGCAGGUUGAAGGUUGGGUAACACUAACUGGAGGACCGAACCGACUAAUGUUGAAAAAUUAGCGGAUGACCUGUGGCUGGGGGUGAAAGGCCAAUCAAACCGGGAGAUAGCUGGUUCUCCCCGAAAGCUAUUUAGGUAGCGCCUCGUGAAUUCAUCUCCGGGGGUAGAGCACUGUUUCGGCUAGGGGGCCAUCCCGGCUUACCAACCCGAUGCAAACUGCGAAUACCGGAGAAUGUUAUCACGGGAGACACACGGCGGGUGCUAACGUCCGUCGUGAAGAGGGAAACAACCCAGACCGCCAGCUAAGGUCCCAAAGUCAUGGUUAAGUGGGAAACGAUGUGGGAAGGCCCAGACAGCCAGGAUGUUGGCUUAGAAGCAGCCAUCAUUUAAAGAAAGCGUAAUAGCUCACUGGUCGAGUCGGCCUGCGCGGAAGAUGUAACGGGGCUAAACCAUGCACCGAAGCUGCGGCAGCGACACUAUGUGUUGUUGGGUAGGGGAGCGUUCUGUAAGCCUGCGAAGGUGGCCUGUGAGGGUUGCUGGAGGUAUCAGAAGUGCGAAUGCUGACAUAAGUAACGAUAAAGCGGGUGAAAAGCCCGCUCGCCGGAAGACCAAGGGUUCCUGUCCAACGUUAAUCGGGGCAGGGUGAGUCGACCCCUAAGGCGAGGCCGAAAGGCGUAGUCGAUGGGAAACGGGUUAAUAUUCCCGUACUUGGUGUUACUGCGAAGGGGGGACGGAGAAGGCUAUGUUGGCCGGGCGACGGUUGUCCCGGUUUAAGCGUGUAGGUGUGUGUUCCAGGUAAAUCCGGUU
rnacentral:rRNA from 1 species